GGGAAAGCGCGGGAGACUAAAGACCUAAUGUUUGUCACAGCUGAAGGUCCGUUCCAGUCUCUCAGCAGACCUCUUGGAGCUGACACGUGGCCAGUGCAGGACUUUCCAGAAUCCUCACGUUUACAUCCUUGGAUGAUGUUUGCACUGAGCCCAUAAAAUCCUGACUUGCAUCUGUCACAUCUGGGGCCCUCCACAUAGUCUUUACAGCGGCACUGUCCGGCGAUGAGCCCCAGAGCCGGGUCGUCCUGAGUAUCGCAGUGUCCACCGUCCAGAGAGCCAUCCGGGUCACAGUCACAGGCUGCCGGGCAUUGCUGCUGCGCCCUUCGGCCGGCCUCCAGGGAACGUCGUUGAAGAAGCUGUCGCACUGUUCGCAGUUCAGCCCCUUGGUGUUGUGCUUACAGGCGCAUCUCCCGUGGACCUGAGGAGUGGAAAAGAUUUCCCAAGCGAUUCAUGAUGAACAUCUCCGUCUCCUCCACUGCGGCCAUUUUGUUCUUGGACUGAAAGCAGAAACAUGUAACGCAUCGCUAUACCAUAUGGCGUCAUGCGUUUUAGGCAGAAGAGGUAGCAGUUGGAAGAAAGUAACAAGUCUGCUUGUAACCAUGGAGACACAUAGAUCUACAUAGGGGCUGUAGACACAAUGUGUAAAACUGCCUCAUUUUUGUUUUGUUGGAGCAGUAAAUAAAUGUAACAGGGGAGGAAAACCUGGAGAACUGCCCGAUGUAUAAUUAUAUAAAGAAUAUGUUACUGUAAUACCCCGAAAACUGUGUGUGUGUGUGGGGGGGGGGGGGGGGUAUUGUCAACGUGGCA